GAUCAUGGCUCAGGAUGAACGCUGGCGGCGUGCUUAACACAUGCAAGUCGAACGGGAAACAUUUCAUUGAGGCUUCGGCGGAUUUGAUCUGUUUCUAGUGGCGGACGGGUGAGUGACGUGUGGGUAACCUGCCUUAUACUGGGGGAUAACAGCCAGAAAUGACUGCUAAUACCGCAUAAGCGCACAGAACCGCAUGGUUCCGUGUGAAAAACUCCGGUGGUAUAAGAUGGACCCGCGUUGG
rnacentral:rRNA from 1 species